GUUGUUCAUCUAUUACAUUGGCCAUGAUUGACUUGACUAUAAUGGGGUUGUGUAUUCAGCUAAUACAGCUCUAGUAUAUCAUCAUGGGAAGCUUUUGGUGCUUGGUGAGGCAGAUAAACCAUAUGUUAUGAGAGUUUUGGAAGAUGGAGACCUGCAGACCAUUGGCAUGAUGGAUUACGACAAAAGACUAUCACAUUCUUGUUCUGCCCAUCCUAAGGUGGAUCCCCUCACCGGGGAAAUGUUUACCUUUGGAUAUUCUCAGACACCACCAUAUAUCACAUACCGAGUCAUAUCAAAGGAAGGUGUGAUGCAGGAACCAGUGCCGAUAACAAUACCAAAAUCAAUCAUGAUGCAUGAUUUUGCCAUCACCGAAAAUUAUGCAAUUUUUAUGGAUUUACCGUUAUACUUCAUGGCAAAGGAGAUGGUAAGGGAAAACAAACUUGUUUACACUUAUGAUCAUACUAAGGAAGCUCGUUUUGGGAUUCUUCCACGAUAUGCUGAAAAUGGGAUGCUAAUAAAGUGGUUUGAGCUUCCAAAUUGCUUCAUAUUCCACACCGCAAAUGCUUGGGAGGAAGGAGACGAAGUAGUUCUUAUCAGCUGUCGGAUUGAGAAUGCUGAUCUUGACGUUUUCAACGGCUCUGUUAAAGAAAAGUUUGAGAAUUUUAAAUGUGAACUGUAUGAGAUGAGAUUCAAUCUUAAAAGUGGUCAAGCUUCACAGAAAAGAUUAUCUGCAUCAGCAGUAGAUUUUCCCGAAGUGAAUGAACGCUACACGGGCAGGAAACAAAGAUACGUAUAUGGCACAAUAUUGGACCAUUAUCCUAAGGAAGUCAGAAGUGAAUAUAAUCGAUGCAAAAACGAUGUCGCCUGAUCCUGUUGCUAUAGUGGAACUCCCCAGAAGAGUCCCAUAUGGUUUCCAUGCCUUCUUUGUAACUGAGGAGCAACUUCAGAAACAGGCUUAGCGUUGACAAGGUUUCGAGGAUAUUAUUAUGGAAUAAUAGCCAUGCCUUUUCCCACUAAAAAAGGCAUGGUUUGGUGGUAAAUAAGGAGUAAUUCAUAAAUUAUAGAUAUGUGUGCAUCAUGCAUGUGUUAGUGUUAAACUAAUAUACUUGGGGACUUAUUUGUAUAGUAUUAUAUUUCACCAUAAGCUGUAUUUUUACGAUCA